UACGGAGGGUGCAAGCGUUAUCCGGAUUUACUGGGUUUAAAGGGUGCGUAGGUGGGUCUGUAAGUCAGUGGUGAAAUCUCCGAGCUUAACUCGGAAACUGCCAUUGAUACUAUAGGUCUUGAAUUAUCUGGAGGUGAGCGGAAUAUGUCAUGUAGCGGUGAAAUGCUUAGAUAUGACAUAGAACACCCAUUGCGAAGGCAGCUAACUACGCGAUAAUUGACGCUGAUGCACGAAAGCGUGGGGAUCAAACAGG
rnacentral:rRNA from 1 species